UGUAAAAUGACGAGGUGUCGUUUUUUACACCUUGUUUCUUUGUACGGAAUAAACAAAUGAGAUAUUCAGGGCUUUAGAUUCACUUUUUUAAUCACCAGCCAAUCAGAUCUAGCCAAUUUUUUUUUUCAAUGGAAAAUAAACCGCUGAAUACAUUUCAGCAUCCUUGUUUCUUUAAAAAUAUCUGUUUGGGUUGAUGGUUGGUAGAUCAAAUAAACAUUUACUUUACUCUUUUCCUAACUUAUUUUACUACGUCAUUUCAGCUCCUCUGGUGGGUUUUGGUCCGUUCCAUUCCUUUCCAAGCCAGACACACACCAAACCGCCCAAAUGUCUUGCCGGAAAACAGAGCCAUCUGUAAAGACUGAGCAGCCGGCCGAUUAAAAACCGACGCUUCGCUUCAUUCAUCAGCGGCCAAAUUGGCUCGUAACUUUACAAUGUUAUACCAGCCAAAGUUAAUUUUUUACCGGCAUUUACUGAACAUAUUAAUUUGUGAGCUUUAGAAAUGCUGGCAGCUUGUUAUCUUCGGACAGAGCCAGGCUAGCUGUUGCCCUGCUUCCAGUCUUCCCAGCGCUAUAAGCUAACGCACAGCUAGCAGUAGCUUCAUAUUUAUAUUGACCUCUUUUUUAAACCUUCCUUUCUCUUUACCAUCGCUCACUGUCUGUCUCUUCUCUCCUCAGUUGUCUACCUCUAUCUGUUAUCAGCAGGCAGUCCUCCUUUUGACAGUCACGUUCAGUGUUUUGUCAGAGUGCUCCGGCCUGUUUUUAUCGAGUCACUGAAGUGUGACUCCAUAAUCUCGACCGGGGAAAAGGACAUGUCAAGAAUACCCCCUCUCCCCGGAGCAAGUCCUGUCCCUUUUGCCUUGCUUAAAAUUCCGAUGAGUGGAGUGUCAGGAGUGGUUAUCGUCUGGGUGGCAUCUCAUUUCAUUUCACGGGACAGGAUUGACCCAUUUCCUAGAACAAAAACUCUCGGGCUGAGUGGAAUCUGAGUCCCUGCAUUCAGACAUACAGAGACCUAACGUGUGCACAUGUUACGGCGCUCUGCUAAUUAAGUUGGAGCUUCACUGUUGUCGGAGGUCAAAGCCAACUGUGAAGGAUUUCCAAAGGAUUUAAGAACCUCUUUUCAGGACAAGCAGCCAACGAGGUAUU